UCCCAAAGUAUUAAGCCUAGUUCAGGGCAGUUUCUCUGUUCUGAUUAUUACAAUCUGGGGUACAGAGACAUGAGCCAAGAGAGAGAAUUGGAUAGAAAG
rnacentral:snoRNA from 1 species